CGAGUCACCCAGGCACCCCAAGAAUGUGUAUUUUAAAUUUGAAGUUUUAUCGCUUGGGCGUCAGGUGCUUAGGAUGGUCCGGGCGUGAAUUUUACCCCGUUUGCUAAUCACCAUCGCAGAGGCCAGCACGACUCUAAGACCGCCUAUUUAUACGGUGACGGCCUAAGUGAGGGCACAAGGUAAGCCUCCCGGGACGCAAUUAUUCCACAGGACCCGGUGUGCAUUCUAAGUGGGAAACGAGGACACGUCACCUCCGAUUCAUUCAAGGCAGAGCAGGAUAGUUUCCA
rnacentral:lncRNA from 1 species